UCCAUAUUAUAGAGCGGAUAUGCAAACGGCAGAGUGCGCAUGUACCCAUUACGGUAGCGGAUUUCGGAACAGCAGACGGGCGUACGUCCCUACAGCUACUCAACAAUGUUAUCGCCACAACACAAGAGCUGUCUGGGGUGGCCAAGCCUGUCAUGAUAUAUCAUGAGGACCAGACCAACAAUGACUUUACCUUGCUGUACCGGGUUAUUCAAGGUACAGAAGACGAAGGACAAGGUGGGCUCAAGCUGUCGUCUAAUGUAUUCCAGGCUGCUGUUGGGAGGUCAAUGUAUGAGCAAUGCCUCCCAAACAACUCCGUUGAUAUAUCAUUCUCAUCUAUAGCAGCGCAUAACUUGUCCAGAAG